rnacentral:rRNA from 1 species
UCCUAAGGUGAGCGAGAGAACUCUCGUUAAGGAACUCGGCAAAAUGACCCCGUAACUUCGGGAGAAGGGGUGCUCUAUUAGGGUGCAAGCCCGAGAGAGCCGCAGUGAAUAGGCCCAGGCGACUGUUUAGCAAAAACACAGGUCUCUGCAAAACCGUAAGGUGACGUAUAGGGGCUGACGCCUGCCCGGUGCUGGAAGGUUAAGAGGAGUGCUUAGCUUCGGCGAAGGUACGAAUUGAAGCCCCAGCAA